CCUCGAUGCAGUGUAAUUGUAGUACUUAUUUAUGAUCACCUGUAGUAUCAGAGGCCCUAUCUUCAACCAUUUCGCUACAUAACAAAUAUUUAUUGCACAUGUUAUUUAUUAUAUCUAAUACGUGAGAAGUAUUGAUUGGCCGAGUGUUGUCACUGGAACUAUAAAAUGAUUGCAAUAGAGAUAAUCUCCUCUAAUACAGAAAAUACAACUUCCGUCCUCCCUUGCUUGUUACUUAGGUAUUCCGUUCCUGGUUUCCAAAACUUUUGUAAAAAGGCCCCAGUCUUCUCUUUUUUAGCUUUUAAUAAACUCCUACUCGAACUCUUCGGCUAACUUUUGUGCGCUUAAUAAUUCUCCUUUAAGUAUGGAAGGGCCCCCAAAAGAAUGAAUAAUCCUUUAUUUUUUGGGGGUAGGAUCCGGUUCGGAAAAGUAGAAUGUAAGAAAAAAAUGUUAUAACUCCCCUACCAAAUCAGUAAACUAGGUUUUGCUAUUCCUUUGCUGAGAUUAAAUUAAUUAAAAUUUCAAGUACUCUCAAAAAGAUUUGCAAGGUAAGCACUUUGACGUUCUUCUGUCAUAUAUAGUUAAAAGCGAUUCUAAUUGUCAAAAAAUAAUUUUAUAUCAACCAUUUUAAAAGCAAUUACAAAUUGAUAUACACUAAACCACAAUUAUGGAUACACUUUAAAUUUCACAAACUGUGGAGAUUGCUCUCUUACUGUAGAGCAUUUCUACAUACAUACAUAUUGUCAUAUUUACUAGUCACCUUCUUUAAAUUUCUUACAAAGAUAACAUUACUUAAAUAGAUUAGUUUUAUUAUAACCAUGCAACGGUUGAGUUUACAAUUUUCCGAUGCAUGUAUAACGAGUUCAAACCAUGAUUUAUUGUGUGUGAU
rnacentral:lncRNA from 1 species